AGAAAGGAGGGAACACCAAGGAUACCGGGUACUGGGUAUAUAAUAGGUGACCGACCGAAACGUGAAUUGGAUUUCACUUCCAAAACACUCAUCAUCCUGAAGAGAGCUAGAAAAGCAAACUUGUUUAUAGGAUGGACAUUCAAUUCCACAAGGAAAAUGAAUCUUACUCUGAGGGGAAAACAAUCAAAAGAUUGACUCAAGAGUGAACGAGAUAUAAUAUCCAUUAC
rnacentral:lncRNA from 1 species